GUUAACACUGUGCGUGCAUUUUAUCAGACACUUCAAAUUUUUGCCUUUGUAUACUCAUUGCAAAAACUCCGCUCUUCUUCUGAUUUCUCCGUCAACACACAACAAACUUCUUGCCCUUCUCUACACAAUACCACUUCCCGUUAAUUCAUAUCUAAAAAUUUCUCAAAAAACCCAAUUCUCUAUCUUUCUCCCAAUUUAAUUGGCCUUUUCUGCUUGUUGUUCAAAGGGUGUUUCCGAAUUUUGUUAGUUCUUGUUGAAUUUGGGAUCUAGGGUUUUAACGUGAAGUUUUCACCGGAUUGAAUUGAAUUAUAAUGAUGGAUGUGGAGGUUGUGACUGGUGACGUGACGUCUGUGGACCCGGAUUUGUUACAGUUACCGGAGCUUUCACCGUUGGCGGUCAAAUCCAAUCCCUAUCUUGCUGAGGAGCUCUUUUCGAUUUGGCUUUCGUUUCCUGACACAUAUAAAUUGGUGAAGUCUUUGAUGGCUGAUGCAAAGGCAGGAGCUCCUUUUAACACAUCUGGGAGUUCUACUAGUAUGAAUAUUUCUUCGACCAAUUCAUUACCUUCCAUGUUUGCAGCUGCCAGUACUCCUCCUCUUUCACCACGUGCUACGUCUGGUUCUCCACGUGUUACAAAACACAGGACUGGUCCUUCUCCCUUAGCUUCUUCCUUGAAAAUAGUCAGUGAGCCUGUAUGGGAAGUCAUACCUCAGUUUUAUUUUAAAAAUGGACGUCCGCCUCCAAACGAACUGAAAGACCAGUGCUUGUAUGCAAUUGAUCAGCUUUUUUAUGGCCGCACGCCUGGAUUGCAAGUUCAUGAUUUUAAGUCAGUGACAAAGGAAAUUUGCAAGCUACCAUCAUUUUUCUCUACUGCUCUGUUUAGAAGGAUAAACACUGUUAGCACUGGAAUUGUGACAAGGGAUCAAUUUAUUGAUUAUUGGAUUAAUGGCAACAUGUUGACAAUGGAUCUAGCAACACGGAUUUACAGAAUUUUGAAACAACCGGAUCACAAUUACCUCACUCAGGAUGAUUUCAAACCUGUAUUACGGGAACUUUUGGCGUCUCAUCCAGGGUUGGAGUUUUUACAAAGCACGCCUGAAUUUCAGCUAAGAUAUGCGGAAACAGUCAUAUACCGAAUAUUUUACUACAUUAACAGAUCAGGAAAUGGCCAUCUUACCCUCAGGGAGUUGAAACGUGGAAACCUGAUUGCUGCAAUGCAGCAUGUAGAUGAGGAAGAAGACAUUAACAAAGUCUUGAGGUACUUCUCAUAUGAACACUUCUAUGUAAUUUACUGCAAAUUCUGGGAGAUCGACACAGACCAUGAUUUUUUGAUUGACAAAGAGAACCUCAUCAGAUAUGGUAACCAUGCUCUUACCUACCGGAUUGUUGAUAGAAUUUUUUCUCAGGUUCCAAAGAAAUUUACUUGUAAAGUUUCAGGGAAGAUGGGUUAUGAAGAUUUUGUUCACUUUAUAUUGUCAGAAGAGGAUAAAUCUUCAGAGCCUGGACUAGAGUACUGGUUUAAAUGCAUUGAUUUGGAUGGGAAUGGGUUGCUCACACGAAAUGAAAUGCAAUUCUUUUAUGAGGAGCAGUUGCAUAGGAUGGAAUGCAUGGCCCAAGAGCCCGUGCUAUUUGAAGAUAUAUUAUGCCAAAUUAUUGACAUGAUUGGGCCAGAGAAUGAGGGCUACAUAACUCUACGUGACUUGAAAAGUUGCAAACUCUCUGGACAUGUUUUCAAUAUUCUUUUCAAUCUCAAUAAGUUCAUUGCUUUUGAAAGUCGUGACCCUUUUCUUAUACGUCAGGAGCGCGAAAACCCAACUUGGACAGAAUGGGAUCGUUUUGCUCAUAGAGAGUAUAUAAGGCUUUCCAUGGAAGAAGAUGUGGAAGAUGCUUCAAAUGGAAGUGGUGAUAUUUGGGAUGAAUCACUUGAGGCUCCCUUCUAAGUUUAUUUGAUUCAUAUAUGCGAUUGGCAGUGGACUGUUGGCGGUACAACUCCAGCGAUUUGCAAUUCCAAGGAACAAGUAUUAGCUUUUGGAAUGGUUGUUCUUGACCUAAAAUUUUUGAAAUGAAGAUCAAUUGAUAUGCAUUCUUGUCACCUUCUGAUUGGAAUGAACAUCUGAGAACUUUGGAACGAGCCUUCCAUGUUUUGUAGAAUUUGUCCAAUUUUGGAUGAACGGGUGAUGACCUCUCAAAAUGAUCUUGUUUUUUGUAAAAUGAGUAGAAGAUUUAUUUGAGGGAUAAACGUUUAAACUAUAAAAUAGUCAUUCUGAACUUGGACUUUAAUUUUCUUCAAAAUAUUCAAACCUUUGAACGACUUUCUUAAAUGAGUUUGUUUUCAGUUUGAAAUAUUUUAA